CUUUCAUGGAAACCAAUAGAAAAAUUUUAAGCAAAAUUAACACUCAAAGGUGUUCUGUAACCUUAACGGCAGAAGAUGAUGGCGUGACGAGCGAAUCCGGUAUAGUGUAAACGGGGCCUAAAUGAAUGUGGUAUCGUUUUAUUCUUGAAAUGAAAUGUAAUUAUAGUUCAAAGCUUUUACGUUUAACAUGCUGAGCGAACACAGUUCGAUUUUCCGCUUUGUCAUCUGUGAUCAAUAUUAUACUUGUAGUUUGUUUUCGC